GCGCUCAAUCUGUCCAGCCCGCGAAUGAAGCUGUGGAUGACGUCUUGCAACAUUUCUAACUACUGAGGCACUGCGCACCCCUGAAACUUAUGAUUCUGCUGUUCAUGAUUUACAAUCUGAAGACCGUCAAGACAUCAAAGGAAUAAAGUAAUGACUGACUUGGAGACAACAUUUCUACGUACUGCCAUCACUGAGGUGUUGCCUAACCUUCCAGAGGCAACAAAAGACAUUUUAG